AUCAGUUGCAGCCUAGAUCAGAAGACUUCACCUACACCGUCUGACCUGUCUGUUCAUCAGCCAAACUACCUCAAGUACAAGUGACCGGUAGAUUGAAGAAAAGAAAAUCAUCUAAGUUAUCUGUCUUUAUAGCUGUCAUUUGCAGCACAGUCAUGCAGGUUUUAAGUGGAGGCCCGCUGCGCAGUGCUGCUUUGUGUAGCCUGGCUAUACUCCUGCUCCAACUACACCCUGUUCUCCUGAAAGACACACACCGUGGUGUGGGGGUUGAAGCUGAGGGAAACACUGACCUGAAGAAGAGGGACGCAGGAAGAACUGACCCUAAUGUCAAGUCUGAACAUGAAACUUUUAUAGACGCUCUUAUAAAUAAGGCAAAGGAAAACCAGAAAAAAAAAGAUGGUCCUGGCAAGGUCCUGGAAUCUUUAAAGCAGUUAGCUAGCAAAACAUCUGCGUAAUCUACAAACAUUUUGAUAUAAAGCAUCGGAAGAUUUGACUAACUAAAAAAAUAAAUAAUACAUGACCAAAACAUUAAGACAAACUUUGAUAAGUUAAAGAACACCUUAGAUAUAGAUGAAAGCAAACAGUAAGCCUAUUUCUAUGUAAUGAAAAGACUAGAAGAGGAGGCACUAAGGAGGCAACCUGUCAACAAAUUAUACAGGAUGAAAUACAAGUUAACCCGAAAGGAGGAUGAUGUGUACUGGUUCACAUCAUCUCCUUAAAAUAAUUAUCCAAAUAAUUCUCCUUGUCUAACCCCAACUUGUUUUAAACCCACAUCUAAAUCAUGCUUACUUUCCAUGCUUGAAUUCUGUCAGAAAUGGUUCAAAGAAGGGACAAGAGAUUUGAGAAAUAUUGGGGUUUUAGUGGAAGACCAUCAAUGGAAGAGUAUGGUAAACUAGAAAGAAAAAUAAGAAGGCAAUCAGGUCUAAAAAUGUUAUAUAAACUCUUAAUGAUAACCAAUUUCUGGAGGAUUUCAAGGACUUGAAUGAGUAUGCUAGUUUUGUUUUCCUUGCAAAGUGAAUGACAAUCUGACAAUUAAAUACAGGAUUUCAUGAUGUACUGUGUAUAUUUAGUCAAAUGAUUAUUUCUCCAAUGCUUACUAGAUUAGAUCUGUAUCUGUUUAUUGUAUGCACCGUCCUGCCAUAGUAAAUUCCUUGUUUGUGUGAACUUGGUGAAUAAAACAAUUCAGAUUGGGCUACUGACACGUUUCAAAACAAUUCCCUUGAUACUAGUAUCAGUAAUGUAUCAUUUGAAAGUAAAG